rnacentral:misc_RNA from 1 species
GAGAGAGAGAGAGAGAGAGAGGGCCCUCAAAGAAGAUUCUGAAUCGAAAAACGAUAACGAGAGGUUGAUGAAUUAAAUAAUAUAAAAUCUGUAUCUUCUAUGGAUCUUGAAUCCCAUGGAAGAUUUAUUAUCUAAUCUUCUUUGUUUCUUUCUACUGCUGUUGUUCUCUCAAUUGCUGGGUAAAGUUGUUUCUUUCUUUACUUUCUCUGUGUCUUUGUGCACCUUUACUUCUCCUAGAGGCAUUGACUUCCAC